rnacentral:rRNA from 1 species
UACAGAGGGUGCAAGCGUUAAUCGGAAUUACUGGGCGUAAAGGGCGCGUAGGUGGCUGGGUAAGUUGGAUGUGAAAUUCCUGGGCUCAACCUGGGGACUGCAUUCAAAACUGCUUGGCUAGAGUAGAAUAGAGGGAAGUGGAAUUUCCGGUGUAGCGGUGAAAUGCGUAGAUAUCGGAAGGAACACCAGUGGCGAAGGCGGCUUCCUGGAUUCAUACUGACACUGAGGCGCGAAAGCGUGGGGAGCAAACAGG